GGCUCCUCCCUCCUGUCGGGGAGUUGGACAGAGCGAGAGGGUCCUCCCUGAGCCCCCCAAGCGCCCUCAGCCGCUCCCGGUGCUCCAACCCCUUCCCCAGCUCCACUGCCUUUCUCUGGACACAUACGGCCCAUUUUCAGUUUCCAGGGACAAUAACCCACAAGAAGAACCAACAAGGCGGUGGGAUUUUCGGGUUCCCCCCGACCCUUGCUCUUACACUCCCCUCGCCCCGCCCGACACCCCCCCCCCCCCCAGCAGCCGCCGGGGCCGCCCCGCCUGAGGCGGGUGGAGCGCUGAGGAGACGGACCCCGUGAGGAGGGGAACCGGCACCCGCAGCCGAGGAGAAGGAGGCACAGCUUUUGGGGAGAAAGGACAAGGCAAUGUCACCCAUUCAGCUUUCUGAACGAGCCCAAAGCAUGGCCAGGAGCACCAUAACAGCACUAUUACCAUUACAGUCAAGAGACCAUUGUCCACACGGUCAUGGUGGAGCACGGGACCACAGCUGGAAGCCAGACUUUUUCACAAGAAAGAAGGAAAGAGACGACGAUGUGCUCAAAACCCAACAACAUGAACGCAAACAGAAGUAUGAGGAGUUUUGACUGGGCUUAGAGAGAAAAUUGGGAGUGAAUGGUCCAGCAUUUUGUCAAUAAUGCAGCGAGACAUCAGUACAAGGGGAUCACACAGCACAGGGCACAGCUCUGGAGCGCGGGUUUCCCGCUGCAGACACUGCAACAGUGAUGGAUAUAGUCCAGUCUGUACACUGCAAUGUAUAAUGCAAGAGUUAUCUUAUCCACACUGACCUUGCUGUUUCCAGGAACUACAGCCUCCACAUCUUUGGCUGUUGUUGCCCUUGAAAAUUACCAGGAGCCCUGGACAGACAGUACAUAUUGGCUCUCCUUGUACUAAAUUUGAGGGCAUUUCUGCAUCACCAAUAGAAUGAAUUGUGCUAAAAGA